rnacentral:lncRNA from 1 species
GAACAUGGUCCUCAAAUGGAUUCAGACAUAUGCCUUUUUAGGAAAUAGCUCAAAUAUCUAACAAAUUUGCCUUUUCUUUAUGUUCAUGCACAUGUUCAGGGUUUACAUUUAUCCAUGAUGUGUACCCUCACUGAUAAUUUGAACAUGGUCCUCAAAUAUCCUUGAGAUCCUUAUAUGUCUUCUUGCAGAUGAGAUCCAAACACAUCACCUAGUUGAAGGUCCACAAAAUCUCACAAUUGUGGUAUUAUUAUUUUUUUCGAGUUAAAUAGAAAUUUACAUAUUGAGCACUGGAGGGAACAAAUAUUCCUAUUCAAAAGGGGAUAUAUAGAAGAUUCCAAUAGAGAGAGAAUUCCAUGUUGAAACAAAGGCAUCAGCUAAAAAUCAUCAAUUUAAAAUGUCAUAUGAUUUCAGAUUUUCAAAUUAGAAACAAGCAUAAUUAGAAAUGUGAGAGAUCCAAGUUCAAGUGAGGAUCUUGCAACUAAUAAGGAGCUCCAAAUUCUUGUACAGCUGUAAAUCUGAAGAAACCAAUUAUGCGUCAAACUGUAGAUUUAAUAUUGGCCAUCAGGUUCAGAAUUUCAAAACAACAUUUAAACUCGAAAUUGAAUACAAGGUUCAAAACCAUAUGAUAUCUCAUAGUUUCUGGAUGCAUAUAAGAAUUACUUACAAUACGAGACAAACAAGGGUGAUAUAUUAAAGGAAAAAUUAUCUAUAGGUCCCUAAAUGGAUCCAAAAUUAUUUUUAAGUCCC